rnacentral:rRNA from 1 species
GUGUCAGCCGCCGCGGUAAUACGAAGGGGGCUAGCGUUGCUCGGAAUCACUGGGCGUAAAGGGCGCGUAGGCGGCCAUUCAAGUCAGAGGUGAAAGCCCAAGGCUCAACCUUGGAAUUGCCUUUGAUACUGUUUGGCUUGAGACCGGAAGAGGUUAGUGGAACUGCGAGUGUAGAGGUGAAAUUCGUAGAUAUUCGCAAGAACACCAGUGGCGAAGGCGGCUAACUGGUCCGGUUCUGACGCUGAGGCGCGAAAGCGUGGGGAGCAAACAGGAUUAGAAACCCUCGUAGUCC